AAUCUAGGAUUUCUUUGAGCUAUGUGCACUGUGAUAUCCAUCGUGCAAAGAUAUUGUAUGCAUUACCACUCUGAUUUUCUCUGCCUUAAGCACAGCAGGAUUUCUUGGGCAGCAGCAAGGGAACUGCUGGAACAACCUUCACAAAAAUCAGGUGUGACUGAAUAGCAUCUGCAUUCUGGGUACCUGCUAUUUUGAUGUUCAUGUUGUUGUCGAGCAGAAGAUUUUCAGCCUUCAGGUCACGGUGCACAAUCUUUCGGCCAUGGCAAUACUCCACUGCCGAGAGGAUCUGCCAGAAUUUGCGCCUGGCCUCAGACUCACUCAGACGGCCGUGGCUGGCGAGGUAAUCUGUUAAAAUAAAGUCGGUUUAAACAGAUUAGACAGCAAGCAGUAACCCUGGAAAUUAAGUGAUUUCUGUCAAAUAUACUCAAAUGCAUCAACUACUCAAAAUUUCAGCCGAUCCCAGCUUCCAACACAUUAUUCUUGCAUUCUCCUCUCCUAAAGAGUAGGGACAAAAAAGCUGCUGCCUAGUAGAACUGUGAAACUCAACCUUUUAUUCCUUCUUUUAUGGCUGACUAUUCUGAUAAAUAUUUUCACAUAACUCCUGUGGAAUGAGGAAUACUUGGAAUAUCUUGCUUCCCCAUCACCAGGUGCUUUUCAGCUUCUCAUCAAUUCCCAGCAGCUUCACGCCACACACCUUCCUGCCCAGCCUCAGCACGCUAUGUGGUGGCUAAAAGCAUUUUUCCUUCGGAAAUUAAAACAAAUAACCAUAAGGUACCCAUCCUGACCUCUCUCUUGUCUUCGUUGCAUCACAAGCAGAAAGAACAUUUUGUUUUCAUAUUUGAUUAUGUUGUAAAACUAAUGUUAGCCCUGAAACAAAUGAUAGCUCUGAAGCUGACGACGUCAUUUAUCCCCAAGAACAAAAACAAGCGAAGCAGCAGCUGUGCGAGUCUUGACAGAAACAGCUUCUACAGCCAGUUCUUUUCUUGCUCUUACAACGCAGAAAAAGCAAAGAACCAGCCAUUAGGAUGGGUUCAGAAUUGCCUCCUACAUCCCACAAAGAACGUGGUUAAUGGCCAAGGUGCAGAAAAUGCACAUAGGUGUGCUGGGCAGGGAUGACGGGCAAAGGCUGGGCGUAUCUCACAGAAUUGUCUAGCUUGGAAGAGACCUCAAGAUCAUCGAGUCCAACCUCUGACCUAACACUAACCAAUCUCCAGCCAAUUGCUGCAGCACAACUAGCACUGAAAUUAAACAGCAAAACAGAGAGCAAGAAAUGAGCUUAUGGGAUGAAUUAUAAGAGUUUGGUUAUUUUUUUCCAAGAUUAAAAAAAGCAGAUUUUGUUUACAAGAUGCACAAUCGGUGCCUCUUUCUUUCUGUGAGAUGACAGAGGGAUGUGAGGCUAUGCCAUGGCCUCCUGCAUCACACAAACACACCUCCCCUCGUACAAGUUGAUACAAGCUCAGCUUUUAAUUGUGAGGACUAUUUACUCGUGUACGUAAUGUGAUGUUAUCAGACAUCACAUACAGAGGUGUUCUGAAUGUGCUAAUCACGUAGAAUGUCCAGUCACGUAACAUAACCUGUGCAUGGAUUUUCAUCCCUCUCCCCACAUCUAUCAGAGGGGCUAGGAGGAAAAGAAAUGCAGUUGGGAACAGACUAGCUGGACAGGGCAAUAACAGCUACCCAUGAUCUACAAUAUAAUGCACUUAAGUCACACAUAUGAUGAUCAAUGACCCAAUAAGCUUUUGGAAAAGCUUGCCUAUGGACUGUUGAUUUCUGCUUGGAUAAAUCAGAAAAGACAAAAUUAAAUUUAUAUAAUCUAAUGUUCCUAAAAUAAGUUGGUACUUUGGUUCCUAAUAACAUUAUAAUGUUGUUACAUUAACUUGCAGUCCCACGUUUCAUUUCCAUGGCAGGUAAGCUUACUCUGUACUCACAGUGAGGUGAUGAAGUACAGCCUUAGGAGUUACUGUAUGAAUACUAACCUUCCAAAACACUAAAGAAGGUGCUUUACUGAUAUUUGGCAAAUAAGCGGGCAAAGGACCAACAGGAACGUGAGACAACCAGAGUUGUGCUUUCAGUUACCUGUAAAGCUAUGGAAAAUUAGCCAAAUUUAGCAGAACUACUUUGGACUCAUGUUUGUGCAAGACGACUGGCCUUAGCAUACCGCAAAGACAUCAACUUUCAGUACGAACUAGACAAAAUGCAGAGGAACAGCAGUACGAAGAUGUGUAGGAACUGUGUCAUGGUGGUGCCAUCAGGAGAAGGUUUCCUCAUCAGCUCUGGAUUCCUCAGUUCUGCCACAAAUGCUUACGUGACCCCGUGAAUACCCCGAUGCUGUACGGCACACCAUGGAAAGCACCCAUGGGGAAGCUGGGCUGUUGUGCACACUGCAACGGGACGUGCAACGGAGUGCCACCGAGCGAUACUCAACUACCUCACAAUUUUAAAUUGGGGAUUUAAAAAAAACACAACUGUGUAUCUUUUGUUUCAGCAAUUUCACUGUGCUGUCAGCAGUUCUCCUGUGCCAUUUCAGCUCUACAUCAGAGCGCUGAGCUGUUUGAUUUGUUUUGGCAAAGCCAAAGCCUUUCAGAUUAGGCAAACAAAACUUUUUUGUAUUUUUUUUUUUUAUUUACAGUAACAAUUUAAAACCAGCUUAUCAUUAGUUUAAGAAUACACUAAUGGCAUCUGAGCAACAUGAAAAAAUAUAUCAGCAGUGAAACUAGAGCUAAUAAUUUAACAUUAAAAAAAAAAGAUUGCAAUAUCUAGGAGAUACAGAAUAAAACAUAGCAAUGCAGUGAUGACUUGAAGAUCGUAUCUCACUGCAUCACAGAACACCAGCUAACAAAUUCCACUUGAAUACAGCUAGUGGAGGCAUGAAACACUGUCCUUCCCUACUGGCAUUACCAGCCAAAUCACUGGAAGAUUUCACCAGCCUGCAGGUACACGCAGGAUGAAGGCAGUACCCUGAAAAUGUGGAAGACUACAGCUCGAGUCCCUGGUCUCUGACUGCCUUCCAUCAGCACGGAGUCCUGCCUUGAAAUGCUCUUUCAAAGCUAAGGAAUACGUGAGGAAAAAACAAACAAACAGCAACAAAAAAAAACCCACUGCUUAAUACGUUCAAAUUCAAUGACGCAAAACUAGGAAAUUUAUGAAAUAAGUCUUAAAAUAACUGUUUGAGCUGCCACCAGUCCCUUCUAAUUAUCAUUUACGCAAAGGUCCCAUGAACAAGACUCAUCAUUUAGAGACCAGCUGGCACAACCAUUUCAGUCUGAAUUCAGUUAGCAGGUUAAAACAGCUGCUUCUGCAAGCAGGAAAAAGAACACAACGGAACGGAGGUUUUCGGUCUACCUCUGUUUACUUACAAGGAUCUGUGACAAAAUCCCUAAGUAAAUGAUUAAUCAGCUCUUCCAAGCUAGUUACGUAACCUCAAUGACCCAAAAAGGAUCAUCGUGCCCAACACGAUGCCAAAGCAGCAAGGUAACACAGAAUACCUGGUUUUGUUAGGUUGUGUGGUUUGUUUGCUUGUUUUUUUAAACUAACAUCAUAUUGUUUAUGGGCGUUAUAGGUGCUCGUGAUGUUUUCAUUUAAGCUGUUCUGCUUUCUCUGUGAUACACAGCUCGUAUCAAGCACACUAAAACCAGAAAAUACAUUUCCAGUAAAACUUCACAGAAGGUGAACGUCAGCUUUGUUGUUACUAGAAGAAAAGUCAAAGGAAGAAAUAUGCUGUUCAGAGGAAGGGGGCACAAACCAUGAGAAUUCUUGCAGAAAUUAAUAAAACCAUGAAAAAAAUAUUGUCAUUGGAUCGUGUAAGACCAACAACCUCGCUGACCUCGUGCUCUUGUACAUGACAAGUUCUUUGCUGCUACUUGGGCAACGAGGCAAUGCUGCUACUGCGUGGAGCAUUGAUAAUUGAAGAAUUGAUAGUUCUGAAAUACAUUGUCACUCAUAUGGUUUAAACAACCAUUGCAAUCAUUAAUACAUCAUCCUGUUAAUACACUCAGUAAAGCAGGCUUGUUUCAAAGAUGUUUUCUUGGGGGAUCUCAGUUGGAGUGCAACAAGAGAGACCUCAGCUGCAGUACAACUGUUUCAGCAACCCUCACAAACAUUUUUAAGCACUUUGUUCGAUCUGAUCUACAAAAGCUGCAGAUCUAAAAACUCUCCUCAGAGCUUCUAACCUGCUUGGGUCUUAAUGCCUUUUCAGCUGGUUUAACUUGGCAAAGCACGAGAACAAACAAAAGCCUGGCAGCAAGGGGAGAUCAUAAUAUUUGCAAGCAAAAUAUCACUCAGUCACAGAGUGACUGACAAAUCACAUGAUGGCAAGGUGAAGUCAGAUAUCAAAGACACAAACUAAAUCACACUGAAUGCAAGCCAGCCCUGUAAGCUGUUAAUCCAUCCUUUGUUAGCAAUGCAGCAAAUACGUUAAUGGACCUAAACUGUCAUUUGCUUUCACAGCUUUAGCCUGUCAGGGCUCAUUUAGAGCUUCCAAACCGCCUUUAGCAGUAGUCUUGGCCUUGCACUUUCCACCAAGUCUAGCAGCCUGCAUGGAAUGGGUAAUUUAUUCUGAAAUACGCUACUUUAUCUCCUGGUGAAGUAGAAUAUGCCAUGAUCUCUCCUAACAGGUGAAGCUGGUGCACGCAAGGAUACUGUUUGUACAUUAACUAGUUUCAAAUAGGACAGGCUGGGACACAGGCAUGGCGCCAGCUCCUGGAUUUCAGCAAGGACUUAAAGGCAGCUGAAAUUUGCUAGAGACAUCCUGCCAUGAAUGCUCGAGGCUGGACGCUGGUUGCACACUCACGUGUAGUUCUGGAGCUAGCACCCAGGAGUAACUUAGGUGAAGAGCAAAGCACCCCCUUGUCAUUUGCAACUACAGAAAUGACAAAGCCUUUAUGUGCCUUUAUAAACAUAGUUUGGUGAAUCUCAUCCUCACUUCAUACCCUUCAUCUACAAGCUUUAAGUUGUUUGUUUUUUUCGUCCAUUUUUCUGUAGUGAGAUAGAAACCAGAAGUCAUCUUAGAUUCAGCUGGAUCCACAGCAGGCAGAAGCAGGACUUUUGCUCAAAAGCAGCUUCCUGUCCGACCUUUUCAGUACCACAGAGUACAUCUGUUUACUGGGGAGACAGGGACAGGCUGGAGAGAGCACAGUGAAGCACAAUGAGGAUGGUUAAAGGACUGGAGUGCCCAUCACACGAUGGGAGGCUGAGAGAGUGGAGGGCAUUCAGCCUGAAGACCACGUUCAGAAAGGAAUUGUAUAGCUGUGUAUAAAUACUUGACAGGAGGAAAAAAAGUCACUUUUAUUACCAAUAACCAGUGAAAGGACAAGGGGAACAAACUGAAACAAGAGACAGAUGAUCCUGCGCCAAGGCUAGGACAAAACUGAGAGCUGCUCAAGCCUAUUCCAGUCCAGCUUUCCAACUGUGCCCAAAAACAAAUGAAAUUGUCCAGGACAAACCGCUAGCUCCUUCUGCAGUCAGAAAAGGAGAGGCUCCUGUGGAGGGAGAGUCGAAGCUCUGUAAGGCCUUGCUCUGAACCAGACCCCCGAGAGGCCUCUCACUCCCAGCGGGUAACAGAGGGAUCAGCUUUUCAGGUAAAAACUUAAACCUUGCCACAAACCUACAGAUUUUUUUGUUGUUGUUGUUUUAAAUCCCCCUCCAGUGCAGUCACAGGUCAGUCAAAGAACAAACCUGAGCACAAUAGUUAAAUGAUGCCAGGAGGCCGAUUAACUGAAGUAACAGCAGGUUCCACAGGUUUCUAAUCACCUUGCUUUAGGAGAGGAAAAGUAAAAACUUCCAGACCACAAAGACACACAGCAAAAUGUUAAAAACUUCAAAGACACUUGGGUACAGAACUGCAGAGGACCAUCCCACUGUCUGCGCUGUUUGAAAACUAAUGGUGGAAAAGUGAGACUAUUUCAUACCCCAUUAGUCUGGAAGUGACAAAUUCAGCACACCCAAUGAAUGAUCAAGAUGGGAAAAAGGAAAACAUGGUGCAGCUUGAGUCUCCUUUCUACUUCUGUUUAUAUUUAUUUAAAUAUUUAUUUUUCAUAAAUACUACCCCAGAUUUUCUCUACUUCCAAGUUAUGUUGAAAUUGCCGCGGACGUGAUAUCCUGCUUAUUACAAACAGUCCAAAGAUAAGGACC